rnacentral:rRNA from 1 species
GUGGGGAAUCUUGCGCAAUGGGCGAAAGCCUGACGCAGCCAUGCCGCGUGAAUGAUGAAGGUCUUAGGAUUGUAAAAUUCUUUCACCGGGGACGAUAAUGACGGUACCCGGAGAAGAAGCCCCGGCUAACUUCGUGCCAGCAGCCGCGGUAAUACGAAGGGGGCUAGCGUUGCUCGGAAUUACUGGGCGUAAAGGGCGCGUAGGCGGACAGUUUAGUCAGAGGUGAAAGCCCAGGGCUCAACCUUGGAAUUGCCUUUGAUACUGGCUGUCUUGAGUACGGGAGAGGUGAGUGGAACUCCGAAUGUAGAGGUGAAAUUCGUAGAUAUUCGGAAGAACACCAGUGGCGAAGGCGACUCACUGGCCCGUUACUGACGCUGAGGCGCGAAAGCGUGGGGAGCAAACAGGAUUAGAAACCCUGGUAGCCC